ACAUGCAAGUCGAGCGAUGAAACACCUUCGGGUGUGAAUUAGCGGCGAACGGGUGAGGAACACGUGAAGAAUCUGCCUUCACUCUGGGAUAACUCCGGGAAACCGGGGCUAAUACCGGAUAUGAGCCUCGAUCCCAUGAUUGGGGCUGGAAAGUUUUUCGGUUGAAGAUGACUUCGCGGCCUAUCAGCUUGUUGGUGAGGUAAUGGCUCACCAAGGCGACGACGGGUAGCCGGCCUGAGAGGGCGACCGGCCACACUGGGACUGAGACACGGCCCAGACUCCUACGGGAGGCAGCAGUGGGGAAUAUUGGGCAAUGGAGGAAACUCUGACCCAGCGACGCCGCGUGAGGGAUGAAGGCCUUCGGGUUGUAAACCUCUUUCAGUAGGGAAGAAGCGAAAGUGACGGUACCUACAGAAGAAGCACCGGCUAACUAUGUGCCAGCAGCCGCGGUAAUACAUAGGGUGCAAGCGUUGUCCGGAAUUAUUGGGCGUAAAGAGCUCGUAGGUGGUUCGAUACGUCGGAUGUGAAAAUCAGGGGCUCAACCCCUGACCUGCAUCCGAUACGGUCGAGCUAGAGUUUGGUAGGGGAGACUGGAAUUCCUGGUGUAGCGGUGGAAUGCGCAGAUAUCAGGAGGAACACCGAUGGCGAAGGCAGGUCUCUGGGCCAAUACUGACACUGAGGAGCGAAAGCGUGGGGAGCGAACAGGAUUAGAUACCCUGGUAGUCCACGCCGUAAACGGUGGGCGCUAGUUGUGCGAACCUUCCACGGUUUGUGCGACGCAGCUAACGCAUUAAGCGCCCCGCCUGGGGAGUACGAUCGCAAGAUUAAAACUCAAAGG
rnacentral:rRNA from 1 species